UGAUGCUAGAUGGGACCAACCUAGAAGACCAGGGGUGGGGGAGAAGCAGAAAAGAAGGAUACGGGGCUCUCUGCCUCCCCCAUGGACUAAUAAAUAUGGAAACCAGGACAGUGCAAAUUCACCAGGCCAUAUAUUUGAAUUCAUCAUUAUCACUGGACCCUGACUCCAUGAGAUGGACAGAUGUGUUUAUAGGGCAAGCCCAGGAGGCCAUCUUCUCUAUGACUCCCAGCUGAGCCCCACAGUGGUGGCUGAAAUCUUGGGACAAGGAAUUCUUAACUUCAGCCUUUCUUACUGCCCAGCUGAGGGAAAACCUUAGGGCAAGGAAUUCCAAUUCCCUCUGGAGCAAAGGCAAAUAAAUUUAAUAAUUAAAAAAAAAAAAAAAAAGCAACGAUUUCAUUAUGCGCUGACGUGACCUGGGCAUGACACACAGAUUAGUUCGUGUAGCUAUCACAGUAAUUCAAUGAGUAUAUUCUAGGGAUCAAUUUGCAGCAACGUUACAGAUGGUUCUCAUUUUGACAGUUCUGUCAAAAAAAAAAUGACUUUUCUUACAUCCCAGA